AGCGGCAGACGGGUGAGUAACACGUAGGUACCUACCCCAGAGACAGGGAUACCCUAGGAAACGAGGGCUAAUACCGGAUGACCUCCGGAAGGAGGAAAGGCUCAGGCGCUCUGGGAGGGGCUUGCGGCCCAUCAGCUAGUUGGUAGGGUAAAGGCCUACCAAGGCGAAGACGGGUAGGGGGUGUGAGAGCACGGNCCCCCACAAUGGGACUGAAACACGGCCCAUACUCCUACGGGAGGCAGCAGCAGGGAAUAUUGCACAAUAGGCGAAAGCCUGAUGCAGCGACGCCGCGUGAGUGAAGAAGGCCUUCGGGUCGUAAAGCUCUUUUGUAGGGGAAGAGGAAGGACGGUACCCUAAGAAGAAGCGUCGGCUAGCUACGUGCCAGCAGCCGCGGUAAGACGUAGGACGCGAGCGUUAUCCGGAAUUACUGGGCGUAAAGGGCCAGCAGGCGGCUUGGUAAGUUGUGCGUGAAAGCCUCGUGCUCAACGCGAGGGAGCCGGACAAUACUGUCAAGCUAGAGGGCAUCAGAGGGGAGUGGAAUUCCCGGAGUAGCGGUAAAAUGCGCAGAUAUCGGGAGGAACACCGAUGGCGAAGGCAGCUCCCUGGGAUGCACCUGACGCUAAGAGGCGAAAGCUAGGGGAAGCGAACAGGAUUAGAGACCCUGG
rnacentral:rRNA from 1 species